AUUGAACGCUGGCGGAAUGCUUUACACAUGCAAGUCGAACGGCAGCACGGGGCAACCUGGUGGCGAGUGGCGAACGGGUGAGUAAUACAUCGGAACGCGCCCAAUCGUGGGGGAUAACGUAGCGAAAGUUACGCUAAUACCGCAUACGAUCCACGGAUGAAAGCGGGGGAUCGCAAGACCUCGCGCGAAUGGAGCGGCCGAUGUCAGAUUAGGUAGUUGGUGGGGUAAAGGCUCACCAAGCCAACGAUCUGUAGCUGGUCUGAGAGGACGACCAGCCACACUGGGACUGAGACACGGCCCAGACUCCUACGGGAGGCAGCAGUGGGGAAUUUUGGACAAUGGGCGCAAGCCUGAUCCAGCCAUUCCGCGUGCAGGAUGAAGGCCUUCGGGUUGUAAACUGCUUUUGUACGGAACGAAACGGUUCUCUCUAAUACAGGGGGCUAAUGACGGUACCGUAAGAAUAAGCACCGGCUAACUACGUGCCAGCCGCCGCAGUAACAC
rnacentral:rRNA from 1 species